AACGUAGGAGACAAACGUUAUCCGGAGUUACUGGGCGUAAAGGGCGUGUAGGUGGUUUCGUAAGUCUGGCGUGAAAUUUUUCGGCUUAACCGGGAAAGGUCGUCGGAUACUGCGGAACUAGAGGACGGUAGAGGCGUGUGGAAUUCCGGGUGUAGUGGUGAAAUGCGUAGAGAUCCGGAGGAACACCAAUGGCGAAGGCGACACGCUGGGCCGUACCUGACACUGAUGCACGAAAGCAUGGGGAGCAAACAGG
rnacentral:rRNA from 1 species